AGGAGAUGAAAGCGGAAUGCUUCGUGUAGCGGUGAAAUGCGUAGAUAUUAGGAGGAGCACCAGUGCCGCAGGCGGCUUUCGGACUGUAACUGACACUGAGGCACGAAAGCGUGGGGAGCAAACAGGAUUAGAUACCCUGGUAGUCCACGCUGUAAACGAUGGAUACUAGGUGUGGGGGAGAUACAACAUCCGUGCCGCAGCAAACGCAAUAAGUAUCCCGCCUGGGGAGUACGGCCGCAAGGGUGUAACUC
rnacentral:rRNA from 1 species